GAGUUUGAUCAUGGCUCAGGACGAACGCUGGCGGCGUGCCUAAUACAGCAAGUCGAACGAGGACCCCACGUCUUGUACGAGGGAAUUCCUAGUGGCGAACGGGUGAGUAACACGUUGGUGACCUGCCCCGAAGCGCGGGACAACAGUUCGAAAGGACUGCUAAUACCGCAUGUGCUCACGAGGGUUAGAGACCUCAUGAGUAAACGGAGCAAUCCGCUUUGGGAGGGGCCUGCGGCCCAUCAGCUAGUUGGUAGGGUAAUGGCCUACCAAGGCGACGACGGGUAGGGGACCUGAGAGGGUGAUCCCCCACACUGGGACUGAGACACGGCCCAGACACCUACGGGUGGCAGCAGUGGGGAAUCUUGGACAAUGGGGGCAACCCUGAUCCAGCGACGCCGCGUGGGUGAUGAAGGCCUUCGGGUUGUAAAGCCCUUUCGACGGGGACGAUGAUGACGGUACCCGGCGAAUAAGCCACGGCUAACUACGUGCCAGCAGCCGCGGUAAUAC
rnacentral:rRNA from 1 species